UGGAUCAAGGCAGUGGAUUGUGAAUCCACCAUGCGCGGGUUCAAUUCCCGUCGUUCGCC
rnacentral:tRNA from 2 species